CGGACGGGUGAGUAACGCGUGGGUAACCUGCCUCAUACAGGGGGAUAACAGUUAGAAAUGACUGCUAAUACCGCAUAAGACCACGGAGCCGCAUGGCUCAGUGGGAAAAACUCCGGUGGUAUGAGAUGGACCCGCGUCUGAUUAGGUAGUUGGUGGGGUAACGGCCUACCAAGGCGACGAUGCGUAGCCGACCUGAGAGGGUGACCGGCCACACUGGGACUGAGACACGGCCCAG
rnacentral:rRNA from 1 species